UACGAAGGGGGCUAGCGUUGCUCGGAAUUACUGGGCGUAAAGCGUGCGCAGGCGGCUUCUCAAGUCAGGGGUGAAAGCCCAGAGCUCAACUCUGGAAUUGCCUUUGAGACUGAGUGGCUUGAGUACGAGAGAGGUGAGUGGAAUUCCCAGUGUAGAGGUGAAAUUCGUAGAUAUUGGGAAGAACACCGGUGGCGAAGGCGGCUCACUGGCUCAUUACUGACGCUCAGGCGCGAUAGCGUGGGGAUCAAACAGG
rnacentral:rRNA from 1 species